ACAAGAAUAUCUGGCAGUGAAAAUAUGUUAAAAGUGGACUCUACAACCAGUAUGGAGGACUGAAAAGAUCCAGAAAACAGCUUGUCUAAAGUUGGCCCCCAACAGAAGGACUCUACAGACAUCACUUAUUUUUUUCCUUAAUCCUUUGGAAUCAUUCUAGCCAUACAUCCUCUCUGAUAAAAAGCAGAUGUGCUCCCCUCUAAGAUUCAGAUGUAUGAACAAGGACACAUAGCAGCAGAAAUUACUUCUAACUGAAUUUUUGUAGUAUGAUAUGAAGCUAUCCUCUAAUGUUCCAUAUAUUCUUUAUGCAAGGCACCUUCGUAAUCAGUUCUUAAUGAUCACUAGAUUCUCACACAAGUAACUUUUGGAGGACAUUAUUCCCAAGCCAGGGCCAAUCUAAGGAUGGCAGUCUCUAAGGCUUCCUCCACAGGCUGUGUCAUGGAGCAGGAAUGUUUCCUUAUCAUUUUUUUAAAAGCACCUUACAACAGAAAGGCAGGGCCUGAGGGUUUUGGCUCACAUGGUUUAUGAAACAUCAGCUUCACAGAAAUCUGGAGACUGCACUGUGCGGUCAGCAGAAUGUACUGUCUGGAAAAAUAUAUUACUCCUCUGGAGGAAACAGAACAACAGUAAAAACCAGAAAGGCAAUCCCUGUUAUUAACACUGAUUUCCUGCUGGUGAACCAAAGAAGGUAUUAUUUUCAAAGCAAGAAUUAAACCCUGGUUAAAGGGAAAACCCCAGACUUUAGUUCUGCAUCAAGAAAUGUCUAGGCAUGGUAUUAGUUUGCAGAACAAAUACUGCAACAAUUUCUUCCCAUAUCAGUCAAAAUAUCUGCGUAAGAAAUCAGGAAAAAGGAAUGCUACCUCCCUGGAAAAUGAGAACAGAACAUCCUAAAGUGUGACCUGUCUGAAAAUAUUAAGCCUUUUUUGUUCCUUUGAAACCCUAUCUUAACCUAAAUGCAUGUUCUCAAUCAAUAUUUAAUAACACCAAAGUCACAUCACCCUGAGGCAUUCAAUGUAUUCUCCCAUUCCUAUUAUUUUCUAUGUGAUAAUAUUUAAUAUAGCCGUUGAAUAAUUUGAAUUGAUAGUUGCACUCCUCAGAUAAUCCUAAAAACUGAACUUGAAGGCAAGUGUAAGCUUCUAUUCAGCCUGCACCACCAGGCUGCUGAAACUGAAGUUACAGAAUUAGGGAGAAAUUAUUAUUUAAUGCAACAUCUCCUCUGAUUCAGAAAUACUGAGUGCAGCUGCAGUGAUUUUGUCACAGGAAAUUGCCACACUAGUCAGUGUGUUUUCUUUUUGCUAGCUUAUCUCACAAGGUAGUAACACAGCCAGCAGUGAACUGAAGCACAGAAUUACCUCAUUAAUGACCUAUCAUUCCUAAUGCCUUCUUUUCAUACCCAAAAAAAGAACUGAGAGCAAACACACUAAACAUUAGGAAACAUCAGAAAAUAGCCAAAAAUGGCCACGCUAUGAAUGAAGGUCAGCUCUGAAUAGUGAACAGGCACACCCUGCUAUGCCCACUCAGGCUGUGCAUUCACAGAAUGCAACUCAUGAUAUUCAAAGUUUUCUUUGUUAAAAGUUGUGCAGUUAUUAGCACUUUUGCCCUGGGUACCUGAAGGUGGUGUCUGCUUAAACACCUGCACACUCAGCAGUCACAGUAAGUAGGAAGAAAUUUUCUGCCUCUGUGGUUUAAACAGAACCCUCGUGUCUCGCCAGAAGCCUGACAUGGAAACAUUUUUCUGUGACUGACAGAAGCAAAUAAAGGAUUAAUUCACCUGCUUUCAACUAUUGCUUUUAUGAAUAUAACAAGAAUAUAACUAGAAAGGAUAAUUGCCACUGAGAGAGACUACCUGCUAUUGAUUUUUUUUUUUUUACCCACAGCAAGCAAAAAGUACCUCUAUUAUAAAGAAUAGGUAUUGAUUGCAGUU
ensembl:lncRNA